UUCUUUGUGCACAUGACGAACCACAACACACUCGAAAUUCUGGAGUAGGUUCCGUACCUUCAGCACUAUUGAGCGGCAAUUGACAGAGAUGUCAAAAUGUCCUAGAAUCUUAGCGACUCCAAAAAGGCUAUCACCCUCCACUUCUAGCUUCCUAAUUCAUCGAGACUUUGCCAACUGUAAUCCAUGGAAUGAGCACCAAACUUUUGACAGCUUCCUAAUUCAUCGAGACUUUGCCAACUGUAAUCCAUGGAAUGAGCACCAAACUUUUGUUGUCAAAAUGGAACACAUUCCAAUACUGAUAAUAAACCCAAACUUCCAUGCUUCGAGCUCAUCACGAAUUAAACCUCUCCCAAAUGCUCUUCUCGAGUCUCCUCCAAAAGAGAGGCAUCUAUAUUCAUUUUAAGAGUAUCACUCAAUGGAGGUCUCCAGCUUAUCAACAUAGACGAUCGCGAGGCUCCCAUCUUAUACCUUCUGUCGAGCGACAACCAACGCCUAAUAAAGUACACCCUAAACACUGAUGGAGCUUUCUCUACAUCGACAAUGGAGGCGAGAGAGGGAGGAUUGGUUCGUGGUUCUGAUGGAGGUCUUCUGCUAGCCUUUUGUUCUCCGGUGGAUGCAUCUUUGAGUUUUGAGGCGGAGCUUAUGGCUCUUAUUCGAGGUUUGGAGAUGGCUUUGGAGUUUUCUACACACAUUUGGAUAGAGCUAGACUCAGCGGCUCUGGUUACUUUAUUGUCAUCUGGACAGCUUGGUUCUGCGGAUUUUAGAGAAGGAAACCGUGCUACCGACUUUCUUGCAGGUAGGGGGGUCCAGACCCCUGCCAUGACAUAUUAUGACUCAGUUUUUGAACUUCGGUAUCUGAAGGCGCUUGUUAGGAUGGACCAGUUGGGAUAUCCUAACUUUCGUAUACGACGUAGAGAUGUGGAUUGAUUGUGACUUCAUGGUAGUUCUUAUCAUUUCACACUUAGUUCUUCCUUUUGUUCAUUUAGUUUCUAGUUUAGUUUUGAUAGCAUGAAGGAUCCCGACUUGUGGGACCUUUAGUUUGUUUUUUCAUGUUCUUGCUUUGGAUUCUAGUCACUUUUGGGCUAGAAUCAUGUUCUGGAACGUUAUAUUUUGAUUUUAUUCACGGGUUGGGGGUCUGCAUAAAACCCCGUCCGCUA